rnacentral:rRNA from 1 species
GAAACCGAGUCUUAAUUGGGCGUUAAGUUGCAGGGUAUAGACCCGAAACCCGGUGAUCUAGCCAUGGGCAGGUUGAAGGUUGGGUAACACUAACUGGAGGACCGAACCGACUAAUGUUGAAAAAUUAGCGGAUGACCUGUGGCUGGGGGUGAAAGGCCAAUCAAACCGGGAGAUAGCUGGUUCUCCCCGAAAGCUAUUUAGGUAGCGCCUCGUGAAUUCAUCUCCGGGGGUAGAGCACUGUUUCGGCUAGGGGGCCAUCCCGGCUUACCAACCCGAUGCAAACUGCGAAUACCGGAGAAUGUUAUCACGGGAGACACACGGCGGGUGCUAACGUCCGUCGUGAAGAGGGAAACAACCCAGACCGCCAGCUAAGGUCCCAAAGUCAUGGUUAAGUGGGAAACGAUGUGGGAAGGCCCAGACAGCCAGGAUGUUGGCUUAGAAGCAGCCAUCAUUUAAAGAAAGCGUAAUAGCUCACUGGUCGAGUCGGCCUGCGCGGAAGAUGUAACGGGGCUAAACCAUGCACCGAAGCUGCGGCAGCGACGUUUAUGCGUUGUUGGGUAGGGGAGCGUUCUGUAAGCCUGCGAAGGUGGCCUGUGAGGGUUGCUGGAGGUAUCAGAAGUGCGAAUGCUGACAUAAGUAACGAUAAAGCGGGUGAAAAGCCCGCUCGCCGGAAGACCAAGGGUUCCUGUCCAACGUUAAUCGGGGCAGGGUGAGUCGACCCCUAAGGCGAGGCCGAAAGGCGUAGUCGAUGGGAAACGGGUUAAUAUUCCCGUACUUGGUGUUACUGCGAAGGGGGGACGGAGAAGGCUAUGUUGGCCGGGCGACGGUUGUCCCGGUUUAAGCGUGUAGGUGUGUGUUCCAGGUAAAUCCGGUUCACUUUAACACUGAGGCGUGAUGACGAGGCACUACGGUGCUGAAGCAACAAAUGCCCUGCUUCCAGGAAAAGCCUCUAAGCAUCAGGUAACACGAAAUCGUACCCCAAACCGACACAGGUGGUCAGGUAGAGAAUACCAAGGCGCUUGAGAGAACUCGGGUGAAGGAACUAGGCAAAAUGGUGCCGUAACUUCGGGAGAAGGCACGCUGACACGUAGGUGAAGUGAUUUACUCAUGGAGCUGAAGUCAGUCGAAGAUACCAGCUGGCUGCAACUGUUUAUUAAAAACACAGCACUGUGCAAACACGAAAGUGGACGUAUACGGUGUGACGCCUGCCCGGUGCCGGAAGGUUAAUUGAUGGGGUCAGCGCAAGCGAAGCUCCUGAUCGAAGCCCCGGUAAACGGCGGCCGUAACUAUAACGGUCCUAAGGUAGCGAAAUUCCUUGUCGGGUAAGUUCCGACCUGCACGAAUGGCGUAAUGAUGGCCAGGCUGUCUCCACCCGAGACUCAGUGAAAUUGAACUCGCUGUGAAGAUGCAGUGUACCCGCGGCAAGACGGAAAGACCCCGUGAACCUUUACUAUAGCUUGACACUGAACAUUGAGCCUUGAUGUGUAG